rnacentral:miRNA from 1 species
GACCUCUGGAUGUUAGGGACUGA